rnacentral:rRNA from 1 species
AGUCGAGCGAACAGAUAAGGAGCUUGCUCCUUUGACGUUAGCGGCGGACGGGUGAGUAACACGUGGGUAACCUACCUAUAAGACUGGGAUAACUUCGGGAAACCGGAGCUAAUACCGGAUAAUAUUUCGAACCGCAUGGUUCGAUAGUGAAAGAUGGUUUUGCUAUCACUUAUAGAUGGACCCGCGCCGUAUUAGCUAGUUGGUAAGGUAACGGCUUACCAAGGCGACGAUACGUAGCCGACCUGAGAGGGUGAUCGGCCACACUGGAACUGAGACACGGUCCAGACUCCUACGGGAGGCAGCAGUAGGGAAUCUUCCGCAAUGGGCGAAAGCCUGACGGAGCAACGCCGCGUGAGUGAUGAAGGUCUUCGGAUCGUAAAACUCUGUUAUUAGGGAAGAACAUACGUGUAAGUAACUGUGCACGUCUUGACGGUACCUAAUCAGAAAGCCACGGCUAACUACGUGCCAGCAGCCGCGGUAAUACGUAGGUGGCAAGCGUUAUCCGGAAUUAUUGGGCGUAAAGCGCGCGUAGGCGGUUUUUUAAGUCUGAUGUGAAAGCCCACGGCUCAACCGUGGAGGGUCAUUGGAAACUGGAAAACUUGAGUGCAGAAGAGGAAAGUGGAAUUCCAUGUGUAGCGGUGAAAUGCGCAGAGAUAUGGAGGAACACCAGUGGCGAAGGCGACUUUCUGGUCUGUAACUGACGCUGAUGUGCGAAAGCGUGGGGAUCAAACAGGAUUAGAUACCCUGGUAGUCCACGCCGUAAACGAUGAGUGCUAAGUGUUAGGGGGUUUCCGCCCCUUAGUGCUGCAGCUAACGCAUUAAGCACUCCGCCUGGGGAGUACGACCGCAAGGUUGAAACUCAAAGGAAUUGACGGGGACCCGCACAAGCGGUGGAGCAUGUGGUUUAAUUCGAAGCAACGCGAAGAACCUUACCAAAUCUUGACAUCCUUUGACAACUCUAGAGAUAGAGCUUUCCCCUUCGGGGGACAAAGUGACAGGUGGUGCAUGGUUGUCGUCAGCUCGUGUCGUGAGAUGUUGGGUUAAGUCCCGCAACGAGCGCAACCCUUAAGCUUAGUUGCCAUCAUUAAGUUGGGCACUCUAAGUUGACUGCCGGUGACAAACCGGAGGAAGGUGGGGAUGACGUCAAAUCAUCAUGCCCCUUAUGAUUUGGGCUACACACGUGCUACAAUGGACAAUACAAAGGGCAGCGAAACCGCGAGGUCAAGCAAAUCCCAUAAAGUUGUUCUCAGUUCGGAUUGUAGUCUGCAACUCGACUACAUGAAGCUGGAAUCGCUAGUAAUCGUAGAUCAGCAUGCUACGGUGAAUACGUUCCCGGGUCUUGUACACACCGCCCGUCACACCACGAGAGUUUGUAACACCCGAAGCCGGUGGAGUAACCAUUGGAGCUAGCC